rnacentral:rRNA from 1 species
GAUGAACGCUGGCGGCGUGCCUAAUACAUGCAAGUCGAGCGAACAGACGAGGAGCUUGCUCCUCUGACGUUAGCGGCGGACGGGUGAGUAACACGUGGAUAACCUACCUAUAAGACUGGGAUAACUUCGGGAAACCGGAGCUAAUACCGGAUAAUAUAUUGAACCGCAUGGUUCAAUAUUGAAAGACGGUUUUGUUGUCACUUAUAGAUGGAUCCGCGCCGCAUUAGCUAGUUGGUAAGGUAACGGCUUACCAAGGCAACGAUGCGUAGCCGACCUGAGAGGGUGAUCGGCCACACUGGAACUGAGACACGGUCCAGACUCCUACGGGAGGCAGCAGUAGGGAAUCUUCCGCAAUGGGCGAAAGCCUGACGGAGCAACGCCGCGUGAGUGAUGAAGGUCUUCGGAUCGUAAAACUCUGUUAUUAGGGAAGAACAAAUGUGUAAGUAACUAUGCACGUCUUGACGGUACCUAAUCAGAAAGCCACGGCUAACUACGUG